GAUGAAGAACGUAGCAAAAUGCGAUACUUGGUGUGAAUUGCAGAAUCCCGUGAACCAUCGAGUUUUUGAACGCAAGUUGCGCCCGAAGCCUUUUGGCCGAGGGCACGUCUGCCUGGGCGUCACGCAUCGCGUCGCCCCCCCACAAUUCUCCGUAAAGGGAACAUGUGUUUUGGGGGCGGAUAUUGGUCUCCCGUGCUCAUGGCGUGGUUGGCCGAAAUAGGAGUCCUUUCGAUGGACGCACGAACUAGUGGUGGUCGGAAAAACCCUCGUCUUUUGUUUCGUGCUGUUGCUCGCAAGGUAAACUCUUUAAAAACCCCAAUGCGUCGUCUCUUGACGACGCUUCGACCGCGACCCCAGGUCAGGCGGGACUACCCGCUGAGUUUAAGCAUAUCAAUAAGCGGAGGA
rnacentral:misc_RNA from 1 species